rnacentral:rRNA from 1 species
CCCCGGCAUAAGUAGCUCAUCGGACGACGUGCGAGUGCAAAAAGCUCGUAGUUGGAUUUCUGUUUUUUAACGCGCUCGAAGCCACUUGGCGACGGACGAGUGCAGGCAUUCUUCUACUCCUGGGGUAACUCAGUGCGGUAGAAACCUUUACUUUGAGAAAAUUAGAGUGUUUCAAGCAAGCAUCGCUUUGAAUACUCCAGCAUGGAAUAAUACAAUAGGACUUUAGGCCUAUUUGUUGGUUCUAAGGCUGAAGUAAUGAUUAAUAGGGACAGUUGGGGGCAUUCGUAUUGGACAGUCAGCGGUGAAAUUCGAUGAUUUGUUCAAGACGAACUACUGCGAAAGCAUUUGCCAAAGAUGUUUUCAUUAAUCAAGAACGAAAGUUUGGGGAUCGAAGAUGAUUAGAUACCGUCGUAGUCUUGACCAUAAACUAUGCCGACUAGAGAUUGGAGGUUGUCCAUUAUGUCUCCUUCAGCACCAUAUGAGAAAUCAAAGUCUUUGGGUUCUGGCCGGAGUAUGGUCGCAAGGCUGAAACUUAAAGGAAUUGACGGAAGGGCACCACCAGGAGUGGAGCCUGCGGCUU